rnacentral:rRNA from 1 species
CCCGGGCCUUGUACACACCGCCCGUCACACCACGAAAGUCGGCAACGCCCGAAGCCAGUGGCCUAACCCGCAAGGGAAGGAGCUGUCGAAGGUGGGGUCGGCGAUUGGGGUG